UGAACCGUUCUUCCGAUUACAAAGCAUACCAACCAGAUCUGGUUGCAGCAAGCAAUAGGAGUGAAGGGAUUUCUUCA